UACAGAGGGGGGCAAGCGUUGUUCGGAAUUACUGGGCGUAAAGGGCGCGUAGGCGGCCCGCUAAGUCGAACGUGAAAAUCCCCCGAGCUCAACUCGGGAACUGCGUCCGAUACUGGCGGGCUUGAAUCCGGGAGAGGGGAUGCGGAAUUCCAGGUGUAGCGGUGAAAUGCGUAGAUAUCUGGAGGAACACCGGUGGCGAAGGCGGCAUCCUGGACCGGCAUUGACGCUGAGGCGCGAAAAGCUAGGGGGAGCAAACGGG
rnacentral:rRNA from 1 species